rnacentral:rRNA from 1 species
UACGUAGGGGGCAAGCGUUGUCCGGAAUUAUUGGGCGUAAAGCGCGUGUAGGCGGCUCGGUAAGUCUGCUGUGAAAGUCCAGGGCUCAACCCUGGAAUGCCGGUGGAUACUGUCGAGCUCGAGUCCGGAAGAGGCGAGUGGAAUUCCUGGUGUAGCGGUGAAAUGCGCAGAUAUCAGGAGGAACACCAGUGGCGAAGGCGACUUCUUGGCCUGUUCUUGACGCUGAGGCGCGAAAGCUGGGGGAGCAAACGGG